UACUGACAGUCCAGGAAGGGUUUGUAUGGAAAUAGGCACAGUGAUCAUCACUUCUGUCCCUGGAUAGAAGGCAACUGUUGUUCCUCUCUGGACAUUAGCCCCACGUGGCUUUCACUGGGUCUCUAUCACUUAAGCACUUGCCUCCUGCUUCCCUUCUUAGGCACCGUGAUUAGUGGGGUUAAUCCUAGACCAACGUUAGGUUAGGACACACUCGCUUGCUUACACGUUCGUCUGCUUUGGGAGCCAAGGUCUUAAAGAUUCAUUUUGUCCAUUGUAUCCCCAGCACACGGUGGCGAACUCAGAUGUCAGCGAAGAUUUUAAAACCCACUGUUAAGGGAGUAAGAGGGUUUUAAAGAAAUGUGAAGCCCCUCUUCCCUUUUACCUAGAGACAAAGAUCCUUCCUUGGCUUGAGAGCUGGGGGUUUUCUUCCCCAAUCUUGAGUUUUCAAGCACUGGGCACCAGAAAUCAGGUUGCUGCCUAAAAAAAAUCCUCACUGCUAUUGAGGUCACGGUGACCCGGACAGGACUUGGAGUCCCUGCUCACCCAUUCAAUCACUCCUGCAGGGCCUGACACCCAGUAAAUGACCUGUACGUAUUUGAUUUUACAAAAAAGCACCCCCGCCCCCGAAACAAGAGCCAGGAUGUUCCUAGGCCAGGAAAUCCGUUCCUCUGCCUGCGUCCCAUCCUCCUCCAUGCGCCUCCAUUUGCUGAACUCACAGUGGAUUCGGAGGCCAGGAAAGCGACACCUGCCGGCGGAUGGCGGAAGUGCGGCUCACCGGAGCCGGCAUCCUGCAGGCCAGGCAGAAACGGGCCCUGGGCCAGGGCGUCUGCACGUGGUUUGCCUGAGCAAGCCGGUUCUUGAUUCGGUUGCUCUGAGCGCAGCACGGUCUCCUUCUUUGAAAGAUCGUCCAAAACUUCUCCAUCAGGCAUGUGUAGAGGAGCCUACAUGUCUUCAGGUUUUGGCCCUGGGUGACAUCUUCAGUCAGCCUGCUCCCCUCUCCCCUCUGGUGUGCCCAGUCUCUAGAUACCUCCUGCUCGGUGAAUUCCAUUAAUUUUAACUCUGCCAAAUGAAUGGAGUCCCCUUUCCUGGUGCAUUAGAACCCUCCCCGUGCUUCCUGUUCUGACUUCUAGUAGCAGAAGUGGGUGGGAGCAGAAGGGCCAUGAAAUUCAAGGCCAGUCUGGGUUGGUUAUCUUGCCUCAAAAACAAAGAGCGAAACCAAAAAAGAACACACGCUUGUUUUUCCGCCAUCACUGGUAAUUUUUUCAAAGCCAGAUCGUCCUCUGGUAAGCUUUUGUCAGCCCCUUGCUUCCUGCAGGAGCUAGUGUGUGGUAGCCGUGCCAUUCACAGAGGCUACUACAAUUCAGCAAAAACACACCACGUCUAAUUUAUUACUUGUGCGGGCUAUGCGGGUCUAGCCUCAGCUUAUAAUCACCCUCUUUCAUUGUCACCAAGAGCUGGAAGGGAAGCUUUCUGGAGAAAGGCUGGAAGACCCGAGCCGUCUAUCUAGAGCUGCUGGUUUGGGACUUGUCCCUUUAAGGAAGGGAGAGACUUGAGUUCUUGCAAGGCUGUCAAGCUCUUCUAAGGUGUCACCUGCUGUCUAGGUGGACGGGUAGAGAAGCCAGGCUGCUUCUCUGCAGAUCAGAAGGCUACAACUCUGAAAUCUGGCAGCUCUGUGCCAAUGACUGUCUGUGUGGCUGAACUCAGGCCUCACACGAGAGAUGUCUGCUCUCACAUUGUUCAAGGUAAGAUACAGUUCAUGUGCUUCAGACUACUAGACCUUUCCUCUGUGUGGGUCUCUCACCCUUGGACAGGCCUAGGUUCACCGAUAAAACACUUACCUAGAAUGUGUAGAGACUUGAUCUCCACCACUGGGGGAAAUAUAAAAAAAUUUAAAAAUGGCUGAAGUCAGGUGUCCUUUUCCACUUGGCCUUCCUUUGCUUUUCCUGUCUUCGGUCUCUUAUCUUCUGGGGAGAAGCUUGCCCUGAUAGUAUAUACUGAUUGACACACUCCUGCCACGCUCACACAGCAUCCCCACCCCUCCACCCCCACUUCUCACUUCCUCUGCACAGCUGGGAGGCCUCUCACCGCUUUGCUCCCUCACUCCACCUGCGAGUGGGGGGAAUCAAUAUUUUCGAGGGAUGAAUGACUAUGUCUCUUUUUUUUGGCAGAUGAGCCUACUUAAGAAAACAACUCAAGUCAAAAGAAAUCUUGACUUCCGAAGCUUAGCUGGAAACACCUCCAGUCCAUGUGUGAGGCAGCCUUUUCUUGUCUGCUUCAGUCUCAAUACUGACACCCCCGCCCCAAUUCAGUUUGAGGGAGAGAGUACUUAUUUCUUUCUGGGUUCUAAACUAAAUACUUGAAGCACUCAUUGGGAGCUCCAGAGGCAUGUCCGGCCUGGAGCUGUGGUAUCUCCCCACAGCACAUCUCCCACCCUAUGUCAGCACAAGGGCACCCUUGCCAGUCCUGACUGACUCUGAAGGAAUCCAUGUAGAGUGCCGUGACACUGGGUCGUUUGCAGUCAUCUGUCCAGAACCCUAGUACCUUGCAGCCCCUCUCUCCUUAAUGGCUUGGCUCCGCCCAAUCCCCGCCCCGUUUCCUACCACCAAUCAGCUUAAGUCCUUCACCCUUCCGUUGUUACUGUGUAUCUACAAGUCGAACUGACUGCCACUAGCUUAAUUGGUGUCUGUUGUGUACACCACUGGUCCCUUAGAUUCCAAGAGUUUGGGUGAGCAUUAUAGUUACUUUGGAAUAACUUUCAGGGGGAGCCUGUGAAAGGUAAUUAUAGGCAGCCUGGAAAUUCCCAGAAAGCCUUGGCUUUGAAAUAGUCGGGAUUUGCUUCUUUUUUUUUCGGAGCUGGGGACCGAACCCAGGGCCUUGCGGUUGCUAGGCAAGCACUCUACCACUGAGCCAAAUCCCCCGGGAUUUGCUUCUUAUCUACGUACAUGCCGUGCACUUUACGUUAGAAGCUCUCGGUUUGGGGAUGUGGACCACGGUCAUCGUAAUGAUAACAGAAGCAGCGUGUGAGCCGCUUGUCAUGUGCCAAACACAAGGGUUACAGGGACAUACUUUCAGGACAGUUGUGGUAGGCAGGGGUUGGAUGCAGCUCUGUUUAUGGCUUCCUCAUCUGUGAGCUCAGCCGAGAUCUGACCUGGUGUCCUGGUUUGCUUUCCGUGACUCUGAUAAACACCAGUGGGGGAGGCAACCUGGGAAGGAGAGGGCUGGUUUUGACUUAGAGCAACAGUUCUCCGUCUGUAUGUCACAACCCCUUUGGGGUUGAAAGGACCCUUUCACGGGGGUGGGGGGGGUGGUCAUGUAAGACAAUGGGAAAACGCACACACUGACGUUACAAUUCAUAGCAGCAGCAAAAUUACGGUUAUCGCAAAGCAAUAAAAUAAUUUUCUGGUUGGGAGGGGGGUGUCACCACAACACGAGCAACUGCAUUAAAGCAUCAUGCAGCAUUAGGAAGAUUAAGAACCACUGGCUUAGAGGUUAUUUAUAGUCCAUUACGUCAGGAAUCUGGAGGCAGGUCCAGACGCAGGGACCAUGGAUGAAUGCUGCUUCUGGCUCACUCAGCUUUGAGAACCAGGUCCACCCGCCUAACACUAGGCUGGACCCUCCUACAUUCAACAGGAAAAAAAAAAAUCCCACAGGGCAAUCCGACUGAGGUAAUUCCUCAGUUGAGGUUCCCUCAAUUAGUUGUGUCAAUAUGUGUGUCAAAUUGAUACCCCAGGAAGGUAGAAGCUGGAGAUGGAUCGGGCUGUGCUGGACAGGAGCAAUAGACAUCUCCUGUAUCUGACCGCUUCUUAGUUUACGAAGGAAUCCUGGAGACUGAUCACUGAUAGGAACAGUGCUCCAAGGCCAAACUUAUCCCUAUCACCCACCAAUCCAUUGUCCAGGGAAGCCUGUGGAAUGCUUGUGGCUUCCUGCCUACCCUUUCUCCUUAUGCCUCCUCAAAUCUUCCUCCCUCACAUUCCCGGCCCAGCUCUCAUGAUUACUCUUCUUCCGGAUUUUUCAGAACAUUCUAGAAAAUCUAUGAAGAGACGAGAAAAACAUGACCCCCCAGCAGAACAUGACCGGUUCUUCUCAAACGGAUGACCCCUCACCCAUGGCAGCAGCAGGUACAGGCCAUAGCUGCGGCUGACCUUGUACCUCCCCUCUUACACACUCCCAGUGUUUCUUGUCAGCAAAUCUGUCCAAUCGCCAAAAGGCCGAGGAGGGUGGGGGAUGGGCCCACGAAAGCUGUGGGUACCACAAAACCAAGGCUAAAGGACAAGAAGAUGGCAUCGUGGGUUUUUCAUCUCCAAGGACAUCUCAGGGGUCCUCUUCAAAGAACUCGCCAUUCCCAAACAGGCCAAAGGCUGUUUGAGAUGACCAGAGGUUAGCAAUAUUAUGCGGUAGAAUAUUAAUGAUAUGCCCCUUAGUGUGCUGAUGUAUUAUGCGGACAGUUGAGUGGCAUCGAGAACGUCCACACUGCUUGCUGACCACCUGGUCUCCAGAGCCUUCUCGUCUCUCCAGUGAAGCUUCUUACCCACCAAACACUGGCUUCUCUCCUUGCUUCCCCUCCCUAAGCCUCCAGUAACCGUGUUCUCCUCUAGGCCCCUCAUAUAGGGAGAUCUGAAGAGCAACCACAGGUAGUGAUAGCAUCCAGUUACUUAGCGCGGUGUCUAGACUUUCCCAUGCUGUGCCGGAAUCUUCUUCCUCGUCGACUUUGUGUUAGUUUUCUUUCUGUUGUUGUGCUAAAACAAACAAACAAAAAACCCAACCAACCAACCAAAUAAACAAACCCACAAACAAAAGCAACUUAUGGAAGAAAGAGGUUUUGGUUGUUGUUUGAGGUUUUUUUUUUUUGUUUGUUUGUUUAUUUUGUUUGCUGUUGGUUUUUGUUUGUUUUGCUUUGUUCUCGGUUUCUUGCUUCUGGCUUCUGGUCCCAGAGGGACAAGAGCCCAUCACGGUUAGGAGGCAUGGCUGCAAGUGUCAUCAAGGGUGGCAGGAGCAGGAGGCUAAGAGAUCUUGGACCACAAGCAGAGAGCGGGAGGUAGAAGGAGGGUGAGCCUAUACAUUUUGAAACCCCGCCCUCAGUGAUAUGCCUUCUCCAGCAAGGCUGCAUGCUUUCCCAGACAGCACCAUAGCCGAGGACCCGGUAUUACAACGGCCGAGCCUAGUCUCACUCAAACAAGGCGGGACAUUUAGCUUGUUGUAUUUCCAAAGCACACCUUGUUUCCUCAUCCAUCCGUGGAUGGGCCCUCGGGAUAACGUAAUCAGUGCUGCAAAGGUUAUGAGCAUACACACCUCGGGUCAAGACCCUUUAUGUCUUUUGAGGCUUGGCCCUGCUGUAGUUUGAAUAUGAGAUGUGCCUCGCUUCCCAAAGGUCCACGUUCAGCCCAGUCAAAGCAAGGAAGUCUCUCUCCACACCUUUCAGCAGUAAAUCCGAGUGAGGUUGGUGUAUGUCAACCACACCCUAUCCCCAGGCACCUCGGUGCUGUGCAGGUUGGCUCUGGAGGGGCAGAGUUGAGGGCGGAUGUUCCCUUGAACUCUCAAGUUUGUGGCUCGGUUCACACUAGAGCAGCUCUGUAAUUCUUCCAGUCCGGCUGCCAAUAGCAAUCAGACCCUUCUCAAUGAAGGUGCAUCAGAGCCUCUUGAGGCUGCCUUGAAGGGUCCCUAAGAAACAAGGUCACACCCGUGCCUUCCAGCAACGGUUGAAUUCUUGUUCUCUGUGUGUUGUAGUUAUUUUUCUUUUCUUUUUCUUUCUUUUUUUUUUUUAAGAUUUAUUUAUUGUAUAUGAGUACACUGUAGCUGUCUUCAGACACACCAGAAGAGGGUAUGGAAUCUCAUUACAGAUGGUUGUGAGCCACCAUGUGGUUGUUGGGAAUUGAACUCAGGACCUCAGGAAGAGCAGUCGGUGCUCUUAACCACUGAGCCAUCUCUCCAGCCCCUGUAGUUAUUUUUCUGUUGCUAUGGUAAAAAUACCAUAAGCAAGGUGCCUUAUAGAAGAAAAAAAUGUUUGGGCUUAAGAUUCAAGAUGGGUAAGAGUUCAGUAGAAGGGGGCAGAGCCCCAGUGGCAGGAGCAGGAAGCUGUGAGCUUCCUUCUCGAAGCACAAGCACAAAGCCGACAUAGUGAACUGGAAACGGCAUGAAGUCUUUAAACUCUCAAAGCCCUUUCAGAGUGACGUACUUACCCGGGCCAGGCUCUACCUCCUAAACCUCCCCAAAGAGCACCAUGACAAAUCCAUGAGCUUGUGGGGGACAUUCUUGUUCAAACCACCACGCCAUGAGUCAGCUGGCACAUUCGUGAGUCUUUCAAGCCAGAAGAGCUGGGCCCUUGGCAGUGCCAGGAAAACAGAAAAGGGCCUCUUAGACUGCACCAGCUACUUCAGUCUAUACAGGCCAGGCUGGGCCCUGGAGAGCUCUGAAGUGAAGCCCUGAGAAGGCAGGCUUGCUUUGUGUGUGUGUGUGUGUGUGUGUGUGUGUGUGUGUGUGUGUCUGUCUGUCUGUCUGUCUGUCUGUCUGUCUGUCUUCCAAUAACAGCUAGUAGACUGUGGAAUGAAAUCACCAUUGAGAACUUCUUGGUCUGGGCUGGAGAAAGGGUCUCUUCAAAGGAAGAGACAGGUAUGGGGACCUCCUGCAGUCCCACCUGGGAAAGGCAUCUGUCUCAGUCACGUGGUUUUUCCUCUCUGCCUGUCUCUUGUGAUUGUCGCCACAGCCCAGCAGGAGAAAGCUAAACAUGGCAGGGCUCCAUUUGCAGGGGAGUUGGACAGUUCUAAGUAGCACUGGUACCUAGGUGGGGGGGAGAGGUCCUCUAGAGGCUAAUCUGCAUAUAUUUUCAUUCAUUUGCAUGCACGUAGUGUUGCCUAUGAAGCUUCUUCCAGAUGCUGAAAAUAAAUUCAACUAUUAAUAUUUUACAAAUUAAAGGAGGGAGGAACCACAAAAAGACCCUUUCAUUUGCAGUUUAAAUUUAAAACUAAUCAUAGAGGGGUUGGGGAUUUAUCUCAGUGGUAGAGCGCUUGCCCUUGGUUUGGUCCCCAGCUCCGGAAAAAAAAAAAACAACAAAAAAAAAAAAACAAACUAAUCAUAGAGCCCUUUUCCUUUUCCUCUGUCUAUCCUUCCCUCCCUCUCUCCGGGUUUGACCCCAAGAUUUUUAAUACACAGGAGACAAACACCUUAAUACAGGUUGGGGUUGGGGGAUGAAUUGCUGGCUGAUGUUGGGGACGGGGAGCGCGACAGUUCUCACAGUGUAGCCCAGGCUGGCCAGGAACUUGCUAUGUAGACUAGGUUGGCCUCGAGUUCACCAAGUUCUACCUCCUGUUUCCAGGAGUGCUGGGAUUGAAAAUAUAUGCUGCCAAGUUCUAUUAGUGUACACGUUCUAUAAACGUAAAAAGAACCUAUUUUGAGACCUUUUCAGGGAGAGACAAGAGAAAAGCGUGGUAAAAUCUCCUGUUGCACGGUAGUCUGUCUUUUUGCCCCCAAAGAACUAACUAGUACAGUUUGGCAAGGUUGGGCUUUGCCUUCUGAUGCUUUUUCUAAAGGGAAAACGGACUCUCACCCUGGAAAACACCAGUCUUGUUUGUUUUCUGUUCCUUUAGAAGUCAGCCCUGGAGCGGCUGGCAGCGGUGAGCACAGCUCUCGGGCGUUGUGUAACCGCCAGGCAAUCACGUUGCACCCACCGCUUCCACAGACUGGUAACUGCAAUAAUAAAUCGGAGCUUAUUCAAAUACGAGAAACCAUCCCAGCGGGCUCCAAGUCACGUGUCCAGGUCACAUGGCCUGCCAGACAGAGAAGGCGGCUGGCAAUCAUUAACUAAUGCUUUCUCCCAGGGAGAAAAAUGCUGGCUUUAAGGAGGCCGGGACGUCAGAAUUGCAAUAGAAGUACCGGGAUCACACGUAUGCGCCUCAAUGCUCGCUGGAACGCACUGUGUAGCGCAAGAUGACCUCAGAUGAAUAGAGAUCUGCGGCCUCUGCUCCUGGGCGCUGGGAUUGAAGGUGCGCGCCGCCACAUCUGGCUAAUUUCCUCUGCUGCAAGUCUCCUUCCCGAAGAGCCAUCCUAACCAGAGCUGACAGCCACGGUUCUGAGAGCCGAGACACUAAGAAGACAGAUGUGACUUUGUUGUUACCUCAGAAGCGAGGCCUCCAAGGGAAAGGCAGCUGAGCCCAGUCCUGAGACGCUGAAUGAAGCCUGCCCCAGCCUUCCAUCCCGCCUUUUCUACACCUCAACCCUCACGACCCUCAUCCUUGGUUUGCACCCUUGUAAGCACAUGGAGGCAGGCUGGGCCAUCUGCAGUGUGGUUUCGCCUCUGGUGUCUCACUUAUUAUCCCAACCCCACCUCUUCUCCAAGGCCUUUAGGUACGUGUGAAAAGGUAGCUCAUCCACAAUGUCUUGUGGGCUGUAACCACUGAGGGGAUGGAGUCUAUAAGUCUAUCUCUUGCCUUUGGGCUGAGUUAGACCAAACUUCAACUCCAUAAUUUACUAGCGGGUUAGGUAACCUUGUGAAUAAGGAGUUCUUUGCUCUGAAGGCUGUGACGAACCACUUAACAUUCAGUUUCGAAACAGACUGUGUAGCCCAGGCUGGCCUUAAACUGACAGUAAUCACCCUGCCUCAGCCUCCUGGGCACUAAGGUUACAGAAGUGUGUCUCCAUGACUGGAGUUCUUUCUUUGUAUGCAACCGAGAUGGACUGUAACUUAAUCAGGAAGGAAUUUUCUAGAAAGGGACGGACUGGUUCUUAGAGGCUGAAGAGCCAGACGUAUGAGAUAAUUGUUUGCUCCAAGUCAGGGUAAAGAAUCUCUCCAUUCCAGUGUUUUCUGUUACCCCUUUCCUCCUGAGAAUCCAGGGUGACAAGGACCUAAUGGCCUUAUUGCGUUCUAUGCGGUGCUGUCUUUUGGUUAAUGACUAGUCAGGGGUAGCCAGGAAUCAAUGGGACAAAGGCUUAUUCUCCGAGAAUAUCCCCAGGAAGGAAAAUUACGUUGUCAUCCCAAGGUAAGGAAUUCCUAGCAGGGGGCUGGUUCAUCCUUCCUUUCCCAGGGUGCAGCUCGGGUCAGGGGAUGUUCACUGCUUGAGGAGAAACGUUUCCAGGACAGGAGCGAAUGCAGUUCCCCUUUAAGAAGUGGAUGAAAGAACUAAGAUUAGAACCAAAGAAGAGAGGACUGGGUUAGUUUGGCAUGGCUGUCUUAGAUACUGUGAAGCCUGGCCCCCAGAAGCAAGAACAAUUUGUAUUCCUUAUAUCCAAAAGGAAAAACUAAAGCCAAGAAAUGGACUAUCAAGUGAAACAGGCUGAGGUGGUACACAACAGUAAGAUAGGCUACAGACGAGGAGGCAGGAGGGUCAUGAGUUCAAGGCUAGCCCGAACUUACGGGGCUCCGUGGUUGAGAACACUUGCCGAGGGCCCAGGUUUAGUUUCUAGCACCCAGUGCACCUGUAAUUCCAGUUCUAGGGGAUUGGACACCUACUGCUGGCCUCUGCAGACACCAAGCGUACACACUGUGUACGUACACACACGCAGGCACAUACUCACACCCAAAGUAAAUAUGAAUAAAUUGGAAGUGAAACGGUUUUCCUUCCACUAUAUCUAAAGCUACAGUCUUCCAAGAAGCAAGGUAAGCCGACUUGUGAGAGAGACAACUUUGUGUCUCUGGGAGGAUUCGUGUUCAGUUGCCCGUGGUAGCGAGGACCACAGUGGACCACAGUAGACAGGAUGCUACAGCUGAUGUCCUCAUGGUUUCAGUGGUGACAUGCGUCAGUGCCUGGGUGGCCACAGCUGCCCAACGGCACUUUUCCAGAUGUGGAGUUCCAGAUGUGUAUGGCGUGAGUGACAGAGGACGUGAGGAGCUCCCACAUACCCUUCCUGACCACCUCCUUAGGUCUGUGAUGGUCCGGACAUACUGUGGGAGAGCCCUUUAUUUUGGAGUGACGCCCCGCUCAGAGGUCACUGCUGGGAUGUGUUCCAUCAGCCAGCGUCUUUCAUGCUUCCUCCAGUGUAAACCACACCAACAUCUUGUUUAUCACUGAAGAACAAAUAUAUUUUGAGUCCCUAGGGCUAUAUCUGUUAUGAGAAAUCGAAAAUACCCAUAUUUAUAAACAUCGUGUUGUAUAUCAGAAAUACAUGAGAUUUUUAAAAAGA